ensembl:snoRNA Gm54904 small nucleolar RNA U2-30
GAGUAAUGAUGAAAAAUUGUACUACUAAACUUUAAAAAUAUAUAGAAUUCUACACUUGACCUGAGUUCA